rnacentral:rRNA from 1 species
UACAGAGGGUGCAAGCGUUGUUCGGAAUUAUUGGGCGUAAAGCGCGUGUAGGCGGCUUUGCAAGUCGGGUGUGAAAGCCCUCAGCUUAACUGAGGAAGUGCGCCCGAAACUGCAGAGCUUGAGUACCGGAGAGGAUGGCGGAAUUCCCCAAGUAGAGGUGAAAUUCGUAGAUAUGGGGAGGAACACCGGUGGCGAAGGCGGCCAUCUGGACGGAUACUGACGCUGAGACGCGAAAGCGUGGGUAGCAAACGGG